rnacentral:lncRNA from 1 species
GACGCAUCGAAAAGAGACAGACGACGAUACGUCGUAUAGUCAUAUCAAACCUGUGGACUCCUGUUCCCGACAACAAUAAGUUACCUAAGCCGAAAGAUAAAAUGUAAGACAAACGUAUUGAAUUAUAUAUACUACGUCAUUUUCUUGGCAAUGACAAACAUUCUGUUUUCCCUAAAAAGGAAAAAAUAUAGAAUAGAAGAAUUGAAACAAAGGUAUAUAAGAUCUUUAGCUCGACUCCAAAGGGGGAGUUGGUUAAAGAUUGUAGGUACGUCUUGCGGCGUCACAGCAUCUCCGCCAAGAAGUUCACCGUUUGCCUCCACUGUGCACUACCACCGUUCACCUCAGCUAUCUACUUCCAUCGUUGUGCGUCUUUACUGUCCGUCGCUACUGUCCAUCUUCACCUUCAAAAAAAAAAGAAGAAACUUCAACGUCAUCCUUAUUCAAUAACUUCGGUACUGUGUGAGUGACUUUGAACUGAAUCUGAAUCCUCCUUUUAUUGUUUGGAUCCUCU